AGCCAGAAAGACUCGAGCAAACACUAGGACAAAUAAGGAGAUGGAGAGAGGGAGAGAAGGAGGGAGGAAAAGGAGAAAAGUAGGGGAUCCCCAACAUGAAGAACAACAGGAUGGAAGGGAGCAUGUCGUACGGUCAGUUACGGGCAGGAGGAUCAUGCGUCCAGAGAGAGGAGAGGGCUGAGUUCCGGACUGAGGAAAAGCAAGUCCACCGUCAACCACUUUCACAGACAACUUAUUUACUGCCGGGGAAGAGCAGGUUUACGGCUCUGUGAUUCAGCCAUUUGUGGCUGCAAAUGGGACUCAAAGGAAAACAAAGACUUCAAAAGAGCAGGACAGAGUUUGAACAACAACUUUCAGGGGCUGACUGUGGUAACGCUAAUGGGUCCAAAACAUCAUGACAGAGAAGUAAAGAACUCAGAAUGGGAAAUCUAAAGAUUUCAGCAUUGCUGUUGUUUGCAAUGACAGCGUUGCACUGUGGGAUAUCAGAAAGCAUGGACUAUAUUGAGGGAAACUGUAAUGAUGUUAUCAAACUACCUUGUAAAGCUACUAACCAAACAACAACGUACCGUUACGCCAUCUGGUACAAAAUGAAGGACAUUCCUAUCAUCAAGAGAAAAAGUGGAGGGUAUACAAACUAUACUAACUCAACAUCUGUUUCUCUGGGAGAGAAAGAGACCUUGGUGUUACAUAACGCGCAGCCUUCAGACUCUGGAGAAUAUAAAUGCUACCUGGCUGCAGAGGUUGGGGGUCAAAAUGACUAUUCUUUCGUUAGACUGAAUGUCUCAGAAUGUUUGGAUGUGAGCACAGUUUAUCCUUCCACCACGAUCCCUGUCUAUUCUUGUCCUGUUGUAGAAGAAUUAACUGUUCACUGGGCUGUGAUCGGUCUUUCUCUCUUCAGCAUGUCCAAAAUCAUCCUUUGCAUUAUAGCUGUGGGGGUGUGUGAUCGAGUCAUAUUUAGCACAGUGAGAAGAAAACAGGAAAUGAUGGAAGGCAAGACUGGAACAAGGUCAAGCUGCAAAGACUGAGACUCACAAAAAAAUCUGAUGGGGUCUAUUCAGUUUUACGCAUCCAGCAAAGCUAAAACAGUCCAAGCUUGUAAACAUUUACAAUGUUGUUGCCACCGUUAGGUUGGGUUCAUGGUGUUUGUUUCAUUUCUGUGUGGUUUUGCUAUUCUUAAUUACUUUUAUAGAUGGUUUAUUCCUAGGGGAGGAGGGACGACCUAUAAUGGGGGCUGUUUUAUAGCUGCUGAGGGAGAGGAGAGUCAUGGCUGGUUGAAAUUCAUUAGGCCUGUACUCCGGCACAGCGGCACAUGUUGCAUUUUGUUUGUUUUUACAGUUUUCCUACAUUUUUUAAUUGUACAUCCUCUGUAAAUAUUUUUACUGUCAGUAGCAGAAUUACAUACUUUAUUGAUCUCAAGUGUUAAUACACUUUCUUAUAUAUGAAUAAAUUAUGAAUACUGUUGAUAAGAUAUGCAUAAAUAUGCAGGCAAUAGGCAAAAUAUUUAUUUGUAUAGAUAUUCACUUAUCCAUCCUGUUAUGGACAGAUGAAUAUUCAACAGAGAAAUGUUGGCUUAUAGGCCUAAUGGUUUGAAUUCAGUUCAGUUCAUUUCUCUGUAUUAAGAGGAUCUUCAGUAGCUAAAUUGCUGACAGAAUGUUUCAGUUCACUUCUAGUUUAACUAAUACUUUCACUGGAAUUCUUUGUCAAGUCUUAUGUACAAGUUUCACAAUUAUACCAUUGUAGUGAAAAGUCGAACUGAGAGAGACAGAGAGAAAUGAAAAUGAAAGAAAGAAACACAACUAUAGCAGUCCAGGUUUGGGUUAAUUAAAAAAAAAAAAAAAAAAAAAAAAAAAAUCGUGUUACGUAGCCUAUUUACCCCUUUCUCUGUACAUCCUGUUUGUAGACCUAUUUAUGUUUUUUUUUUUUUUACUGUUAUAGCCUACCGUAUAAUAGCCUACUACCAAAGUAAAUGUUCAUUCACAAUAUGUAGGCUACUGGACAACAUUUUACAAAUAUAACUAGAUUAAAUUGUGCAAACAAUAAAAUUAGAAAAUGUUAAAAUGAACGUUGGUGUGUGGUGUUGUUGUUAUUCAAAUCGGCCAAUAAGAUCGCUUCUUGCAUUUCCGGUGUGAACUUUCAGUUUUGCAGAAGAGAAAGCGUAAGGAAACAAAACAGUGAUCAUGCUGCACAUCUACUUUUUAAUGCUCCAUCUGGUUUACUUCACAAUAUCAAUUGAGGAGCACCACUGGAUUAAAAUACCAUGUCAAGCUAACACUGAACAAGGUGUAAAGUACAGAAGAAUCACCUGGUACAAGGUUGAAGAGGGUUCUAAUGUGCUGACUGGACUUGUUUCGAAGGAUCUGCUAAAAAACUUUAGAACACUCUUUAAGUUUGCAAAUCAUUCCUAUGAGGUGGGGGAGGACAACGCUCUCCUGGUCCCUGGUCCUGCUGAAGAAGACUGUGGUGUUUACAGAUGCACCCUGUGGCCUCCACUGGGUCAUUACAUUCAGGAAGGAAAUACAGAGUAUUAUUCAGCAGACUGCAUAAAGCCUCAACUGCAAGCAGUAAGCAUUAAGAAAGACACCUUGUCUGCCAAUCAUCAAUUCAUCAUAGUCAUAUGUGUGAUGAGUCUGAUUGCUUGUGUUGUUAUCAUGUUUCUGAACCUCAAAAUGAUUAAGAAAAAUAAUAUUAUGAAAAAACUUGUGCAAACUGAUGAAAGCAUAUAAGUAACUGUUGUUGUUGUUGUUGUUGUUUUUUUUUGCCCUAUAUGUAAAUUUAUUUUGCAUUUCCACUUUAUGUCAAAACAGUUUUUUGUUUAAUGGAACAACAUUUUACAUGGUUAACAAGAAUCUAAAGAUGUUAUAUUUUUAUUAACACUGCUUAUUAAAAAGACUGCAAAUGUAGCAUAUGUGUUAAACCAAUGUAAAUGUUACAGUAAAGUAGCAUUUUUCUUGUUUUUAUUUGUUAACUGAUUUAAGCAAUUAUUAUUAAUAAUCACCUUCUGUGAAAAUUCUUAGUAAACACUGCAAGUUAAUGAUGAUGGAGAUACUGCUUUAAUUUUACUGAGCUGCCGAAAACUCACUCUCAAUACAUAGGCUAAUUUCGAAUUCAUUUUAAUUUGUAUCCGACCAAAAGGGAUGAUAUCGGAGUGGGUGAGUUGUUUUUAGCAUAUGAAUUCACUUAUAUCAAACUGCCAAAGUCACGUGAUUUCAGUAAAGGAGGCUUCUUUAUGUCAUAAGUGUUUCUAAAUUUCAAUGGUUCACCACUGGGGGGCGUGACUUUGGAAGUUUAAUACAGGCUCCAAACCACUGAUUCAAAACAAAAGAUUUGUAAAGCUUCAAAGCUUCAUAAAGCAAUGUUUUGAAAUGGCCUAUCACUAGAUAUUGUUGAAUAAAGUCGCACAAAAAGUAUUCUCGUCGCUUCAUAACAUUAAGGUUGAACCACUGCGGUCACAUGAACUGUUUUAAAUAUGUCUUUAAUAGCUUUCUGGGUAUCUGAAUCUGUUCAUUAUUUCACUGGCAAUGCAGACCCCACUGAGCCAUCGGAUUUUAUCAAAAAAAAUUUGACCCCCUCACCCCAAAAUAUUUUUUCGUUGCCUCAGGGCAACGUUGUGCAACAAUGGUACAGAAUCAUAGAGAAAAUUAUCAUCAAAAUCACAAUUUUUUUUUUUUUUUAAAUGUCAAGAAAUCAUUAAGUAAAAAGGGAAAAACACUUGAAAGACAUUGAUAUAUUGAAUUUGAUACAUGCAUAGGUGUAUGCAAUACACACUUCAUAGUGUGUCAUGUCAUAUAAUGUACUUCAUGUAAUAAGAUUUUACUCCGUACGAAACUUCAAAAAGCAGUUCUUCUCUGCUGUGAAAUAGAGGUGUAUGUUACAAUUUUUGCACAUCACUUUGGGUGUUCCUGCACACCCAGGAACCCUGCAUCUUCCUUUCUUAUUACACAUUAUGGCCAAUGUGAGGUACUGUCAAAAACAUCCUUGAAAAGUACCUCUUAUCACACAACGUUGCCCUGAGGCAACAAAAAGAAAAACUGAAUUUCUGAACAUGCAAAAUAAAAUAAAAAAUCAUAAAACCUGACAAAAGGGUUCUCUACACUUACAUACACACACAUAUUUUUUAUGUACAGUUCAUGUCAUUUUAAAUAAGAUUACUAAAGCAAAUAAUCUUGCCUUCUUCUCACACCAUGUGCUCCUGUGACCAUGUGUCAUAACAGGACGUCCCACCUUUAAAUGGUGCUUGAUAGUGACUCCUACACCUGGACUGUUCUUUGGUACUUUCUCGACCUUUCUAAUUGGUUGUAAUCAUUUAAAUAAAAAUUUCCAUUGCCUAAGGGCAACGCUGUGCUGUAGAGGGUUAAUGACAGAAUUUUUUAUUUUUGGGUGAACUAACCCUUUAACUGCUAUGCACUAUUUAGUGAUUCGUGAAUGGAUUCGUGAGUGAACGAUUUUGUACAGAUUCACAGCUUUGCACCAUUCCGUUACCACUAGCUCACAGGUUACGCGCGUGUUGGGUAUUGACAGUGUAAUGGGCUAUAUGCACGGAGCGUUCUUUAGAACUUCCGCAAUAAUAUAAGAUAGCUCGAAAACUUCCGGUGAUAUGUAAUUUGCUGGUGUGUUGAGCAUCAGUAGUGUAGGCCUACUUAUUUUAUAAUCAGAAUAUAGUCACUUAAAUAGCAUAGCAUUAGCAUUAAUUUAGUUAUUCAAACGUAAGACAGCAUAGAAAAUAAAUAAAUAAAAAAGUACCUCAGUGUUCCUCCUCGGCUAAAUUCAAUUCGACCAACAGUUUUCACACUUUCGUUUGAAAAAAAAAGCGUCAAAAAUUAAAUAUUUAUAGUGGACUUUAGAAUAAAUUGAAUAAAAUGUGUUUUUACAAGUGUGCCGAAAUCAUGAUCUUGCGCUGCACUGACUGACAAAGGGAAAGUUGUUUUUCAUACUUUUCAGUACUUCAUACUUCACAUUGACAAAAUGUAAAUGUAGUUAUUUUAUAAAGUUUAAUAUUUAGUCAAAACGAAGUUAAAAACGAUUAGAGGAAAUGGCUGAUAUAUGCGCAAAUAAAUGCUACUUUGCUGCCACCUGCUGGUUAUAGUGGUAAUUAUUGUCUUUUUUUUAAUUUUUUAAUAAGUGUUAUCUAUCAAAUGUUGAAUUUCCUACAUUUUGUUUGUUUCCAACAAUCCAACCAUCUCCAUUGACUGUCAUUUCUGACUUAUAACAAAAAACAGAACAAUGUCUAAAAGCUGCUAUGUGACAAUGUGUACAGAAAACAAGCUAAAAAAAACAGAACCAAAAACCCAGAAGUUUUUAUAAGCUGUUGACCCAAAAAAAAUGGAUACAGGCGAUUGAGACAGAGCGCGACAUGUCAUAUUACUAUGAGAACUACGCCCACUGGAGGGGAACGUAAUCAGCAACAGGAAAUAUAAUAUAUAAAACUGACAUUUGGAUAUUUGACUUAACAGUGACAAAAUGUAGGCUUACUGAGGCAUGCUGAGUGUCAGGAUCCCAAAAUUUACCCAUUCUUCCUGCUGAUGCUUUACGUCUUAUUGCCUGUAUCCACUUUUGUCUCCUUAAAGGCUGGCUUUUACGGUUCGGUAGCUUAUAAAAACUUAGUUCUGGGUUUUUUAGCUUGUUUGCUGUACACCUAGUCACACAGCAGCUUUAAGGCAUUGUUCUGUUUUUUGUUAUAAGUCAGAAAUAAUAAGGAGGCAGCCUCACGCAAUGUCAAUGGAGACGGUUGGAUUGCCCUAACCCUAACCCUAACCCUAACGUCACAGAAUGGGUACAGGAGGCUCGGAGUUCGAUUUUACCUAUAAAUGUAUGCAUAGUAUUUUUCUAUACUACUGCAAUAUACGAGUUAGAUUUGGUACAUUAUUAUGAUCAAAAUGACAUUGUACUUCAACAAAAAUACUUUACAGCUCCCUUUAUCAGUCCAUUCAAAUGUUUCAAAUAGACACAAUAUACAUUAUAUUUAACGUAAAAGACCGGCAGUAGCUUAUAAUGAUACUACAGUAAAUGAAUGCGUAUUAAUACAAAGAGUAAACCAGGGGGAAAAAAGACGAAGGCGCCUCCUUGAUUGUCUCGUUAAGAUGACGCUGAAGUGCGUUCCAAAAAAAGAGUUUUUUUGACCCCUACAACCUUCAUCCCUUUGAAGCUCUCACUCCAGAGGGUAAACCCUUUGAAGGGAUGAGGGCAUAGGGAUGAGCCCUUCCGAAUGGAACGCAAGGUCGCUUGAAAGCCUAUGCAUUUUUCCCAUAGACUUUUGGAAAAUCGAAAAAAAUAAGCUCUGUGUUUAACAAAGGGUUAUGACACUUACACGUUUUGUCUAUCAAGAUAAUCUUUACAAGUUAACACAACAUUUAUACAUUUUGAAGCCUAAAUAAAGUCGUCAGAUAUAAAAAGCUAACAGCAGGCUAAAAACAGACUACAGCACACCAUGGUCACGGAUCAACGUCACCACCACCAAGCUUCCUCAAACUUUACUUAAAAAACAACUUUAUUUCAAAACAUGUUUGCUGAUUGUGAUCUCUGCUGUGUAUGAAUGUGGUAUGUGUUAUGCCACUUUUUCAAUUGUGUCCAAUUUUCCAGUUUAUCACGAUGACGUUUAAAGUCCCCACCAAAGGAAGUAGUCCCUUUUAGCAACUUGUUAGCAACUGCCGUUUUUAAGACACAAUAAAGGUUUAAAAAAAUAACAAGCGGGUUAUAACUGGUGUGUUUUAUGUCAUAGAUCAAAACAUUAAAAUAUUUAGAGGCUUUGUUAACCACAGACCUUAUUUCAGGUGAUUUAGCAAAAACCCAUUUAAAAAACCCAUAGACUUUAGGGCGAUGGAACCGGAAGUCCUAAAAUGCUAACUCGCUUCUGGGUUUUGCAUACAAAACACGAUCAUAACAUGAUUUUUCCCUCAACGUGGCUCAGAGGCAAAUUAGGCUACCUUUUCUUCACCGACUGUUGUUGCUAAAGGAUGUUACUUUAGAAAGACGAGUAAACCAUUUGGUUUCAUAAUCCUGUAAAUCUGAAUUACCCGAAAAUCACAGUACCUUCAGUUCACACAAAUAUUUACACAAUUAAAUAUAUAAUACUUAACUACAGAUAUUGUCCACUUGUGUUUACUGUUACUGUACUGUAGCCUAUAUGAGGGAGAAAUGUUCAGCUUCUUUUAAUUUUUUUAAUCUGAUGUCAAAAUGAAAGUGUUUUUUAAUUAUUUGAGUUACAUACUUUGCAAUGAAACAAAGCUGUUAAGAUGAUCCUGAACGUGUUUGAAAAAAGAUAGCAUUUCUAAACCCACACAGAUGUUUCUGAGGAGAUUUCUCAGUAAAUGAUACUUAAGAACUGUGGGAAGCAGCCAAGUACCAACUUCAGAAGAACCACGAGCAUCUCGCAUUUCACCGUACAAUGAUGAUUCGCUUGAUAGUGUUGGUGUUGAGCCUUAGUAUGGUAGUCGGCAAAGAUGAACUCACCUUCGUCCCCGCAGAUUGUGGAGGUGACAUAAUAUUGAACUGUACCCUUCAAAACAGUGUGAACUACACCUCUGUUACGUGGUACAAGUGCUACAAUAACAGCAAUUUCAAAAUCCUCAGAAAGUCAGAAAAUGCCAUCCAAACUGAUAAGCACAGUGAUUCUGUGUCAAUGGAUAAAAACACAUCUUUGGUCUUAAGGAAAGUUGCUCCUUCAGAUUCUGGGAUCUACAAGUGUUUAAUCAGAGCCAGGGCUGGAGGAAAGAACACUGAAUUGCAGUUUAGACUGAAUAUAUCAGAUUGUGUGUCAACACCUUCACCCAUUAACUUUGAUUUCUCCAACACUACGUUUAUUAAUGGAUCGUGGGCAAACAUUAGCAUCCCUUUGACUCAUGGGGAUGAUGAUUCAGAGCUAUUUGUCUUUUGGGGUUGGGUAGGAGUAACUGUGAGCAAACUUGUCCUCAGUGCUGUGUGCAUAUGGGUUUUCAAUGAGCUCAGAGAACGUAGAAGAAGAAGACAGACUUAAGGCCAGCCAUUGUUUAUCAUCACUUUCUGUGUUUGUUUUCAUAUCGUCUAUAUAGACUUUCCUUACAUUCUGGAACUGUUGGAUGAACCAUUGGAUGGUUUAGUCAUUUAUCAUUUUAAUAAUUAACCUGUUAAUUUGUCUGUGAAUUAUACAUUUAAGGAAACCGUCAUGAUGGAACUGCACCCUAAAAAAAAUGCUGGAUUGUUUCAACCCAAAUUUGGGUCAAAUAUGGACAAACCUAGCUGUUGGGUUAUUUUUUAAAUUACAUUUUUAACCCAACGGUUGGGUUUGUCCAACCGUUGAAACAACCCAGCAUUUUUUUAGAGUGUGUAUUGUUGCUCUAACUAAUCUGUGCUUUAUAUCCAUUACACUUAUUUCCAGAAAUGACAAUGCUGUCAUUAUUUACUCAACCAUAUAUUGUUCCAAACCUGUAUGCUGAUUAGGUAUAAAAGAACAGAGUUCUGUCAGACAAAAGCAAAAGCACCAUAGUGGUUAGUAUUUCUGUAUAUUCCAAUACUUCUGAAGCCUCAUAUGAUAGCUUUAUGCGAUGGACAGACUGAUAUUUAAGUCAUUAUUCACUCUUUAAAAGGAUAGUUCACCCAAAAAUGAAAAUUAUCCCAUGAUGUCCCGUAAAAGCGCAUCCAUCCGUCAUAAAAGUAAUCCAUACGGCUCCAGGGGGUCAAUAAAGGCCUUUUGAAACAAAGUGAUGCAUUUUUGUAAGAAAAAUAUCCAUGAUUAUUUUUAAACUGUAAUCACCAGCGUCCAGUAACCGCCAUUCGCGCUUUCAUGAGAGAGUCGAGUUCCGGCAUAUGAAGUAGGAUGUAGGAGUAGCGUAAACUUAGGUUCAAACAAAUAGGUCUGAUCAACAAGCCCUUUCAAGACAUUUCUCUUUAAAAAUUCUCUAUUUUGACUUAAGUCGUGACUAGUGUUUUGUUUUGCUCUAUCCUCUGCGCUUCCGUGUUUGUCAAUACGGUCAUGCAUCGGGUCAGAGUUCACUCUUCCGCCGGAACUAGACUUGUGUACGGCUGUUAGCGGAAGCCAGUUAUUAUAGUUUAUAAAGUUAUAAAUAUGGAUAUUUUUCUUACAAAAACACAUUCCUUCACUCUAGAAGGCCUUUAUUAACCCCCUUGAGUCAUAUGGAUUACUUUUAUGAUGGAUGUAUGUUUUUUUUUAGGCUUCAAAAAAAAAAAAAAAAAAGGUACCAUUCACUCCCAUUAUAAAGCUUGGAAGAGCCAGGAUAUUUUUUUUUUAAUAUAACUCCAACUGUGUUUGGCUGGAAGAAGAAAGACAUAUACACCUAGGAUGGCUUGAGGGUGAGUAAAUUAUGGGAUAAUUUUCGUUUUUGGGUGAACUAUCCCUUUAAUCAAAUAAUUAAUACAAAUAAGCAUUAUUUAUUUGGAAUGACAAGAGAGGGUGAGUAAAUAAUGGAAGAACAUUUUUAAAUCAUAGGUAAACUAUUGAGAGUAAAAAGUGUUAUCACACAUAACUUUAUCCACAUGUAAUACACUGUAAAUGAAAAAUACAGAAAAGGUCUGUACUCUAAAACACUUUACUCGUUACACACAGGAGAUGACAAACGUUUCGGCUCUUCGCCUUCGUCAGUGUGACAAUUUCACACACUCUCAAUAAUAAUAUAGAAAAUACACUGCAAGUCUUCAGGUGAUCAUGAUCAUAAUUAAGUAAAAAGGACAAUCAGAUGAUCAGUCCACAGACUCCAGUUUAAGUCCACCUGGAAAGACAAAUCAUAAUUAAAAACAAUACUGUGAACAGUUACACAUCAGGCAAACUACACUGUAAAUGGAAAAAAAAAAGAAAAAGAAAAAAAAAAACUAUUCAUUCCAGAUUUAUACCAGUGUUAUAUUAGUAUGUAUAUACUAUUAGUAUUUAUUACUAUUUUGAAUUAGCUCUUUUUAGUUUAAGUUUGAGCAAUUUUAUUAUGCUUUUGUCAUUAUUAUUUUUUUAAUAUAAUAUUUUGUUAAAUAUUUUAAAAUGUUUUGUAUAUUUAAAUUUAUAUUUAUUAUUUCAGUUUUAUUCAUUUUAUUUUAAUUUACGAAAACAAUUUGUAAUAGUUUUAGUUAAAAAUAACUCUGCUUCUUAUUUAAAUAUAUUAUAUUAAUACAUUUGUAUCUGUAAUACUGCUUUAAAUGAACCAGUAGUAUAGGGUUAAUGACCUAGAUUAGCAUUUAUAAAUGCAUGUGUUUGAUUAUGUUUGUGUGGGCGUUGUAGUGUGUGUUGAUUUACUAAAAAAAAAAAAAGUAAUCCUAACAUCAAAAGCACCUCUAGUACAGCUCUAGGCAAUAACUGAGUUAGUUUGUCUGUUCCAGCUUGAUAUCAUUGCACACCAGACGCUCUAUUUGAUGUGCUGAGAGGAUGAGCCCCACCACAAAUCUAUAGCCUACUGCUCCAGAAAAUGUUAAAAAAUUACACCUGAAAACUUUCUGUUCCAGUAUCUUACACCUCAAUUGAGGCCACUUCUGAGGGCAUUAAAACCCAGGACCAAUCCACCUAAAUCCACCUGCUCAGUUUCUUUCCCCAGGCCAUAUCUAUCACUAUCGGAAACAAGGAUUUAGCUGCCAUUACUCUCCGAGACCAAUGCCAUCUGCAGAACACUCUAGUUAAAGGAAUAUUACAGGUUUAAUACAAGCUCUACUGACAGCAUUUGCUUUUAUCGUUUCUUUUGUUUGUUUUUAGGUCUCUGUGUUUUGCACCAGUUGUUGUAAAUGUCAUACUUGGCAAAAUCUAAACCUUUAACCGCCAAUAUUUUCAGCAGCAAGAGAGAAGUUGUUGGCCAGUAGAUGGCAGCAAAUUCAGUGCCUUAAAUUCCUUCGAUUAAUGACGUGAAUGUGAAAUUACUCUAUAGCUCCCUCUUGUGUUGAAUGUUUGUGGACACAAAUUACAAUUGACUUGCUUAAUGUGCGUUGCUGUCCUUAUUGUGAAGAAUUCAUCGGUGGAUGUUACUGCAAAGUAAAAAAGAAAACAGUUUUUGUAAUCUUUACACAUAGUACAUAUGAAAGACCGUCGCCUGAAACAGCUUUUCUUUUGACAUCACUCCUGUUGGUGGCUAUUAGAUAAUUUAACCAAUAGCCAUAAAGCUAUUCAGUUGUUUUUAGCAAACCAACAUUCGUUUUGGCUCUAUUCAGAUAUGUAAGUUUUCACAAUCCAGUUGUUUCCCACAACAUAUUUUCCACAUUUAAUUGGGAUAGUUCUUCUGUUACACACCAGCAACUGAGAAUUGUGCACAAUGACUUAGUUCCACGGAGCUCAAACACAGAAAGGAACAAAGAAUUUAAUUUGAUGUUUGCUUAAUUCUAAAGAGUAAAAAAGAUUUCAGAUCCUGCAUCCUUUGAAGGGCGAAUGCGUCACAGGCUGUCCCAAUUAGAACGCAGCCUACAAAUGCGUCCUUCGUUUCCUAAAAUAAGGUCUGUGGCAAACAUAAGUUAACGAUACAUGGACGUUUUGUUCUACAACGUAAAUUACAAACACACACUCAGACACUCUUUAUCUAACUUAUUAAAACAUACUUUAAACAACAACAACAACGGCUUCAAAAUCCACAUUUUCGAUAUGGGUGUGUAAACAAAAUGUCCAAGUAUUGUCAACUUAUGGUUACCACAGUCCAUACUUUACUCGGCUAAACUGAAAAACCCCAUUAUAAAAACCCAUAGGAAAAUCUCAAAGGAACCACUGGUAAAUAAGUCUUCCGUGUUUUGACGUCAUUCAUGCGCCACUCUAUUGGGGCACAGCUAAUGUUUGGCUGUUUUAUUUGGAACAAUUAGAAAAUUUUAUUAAAGAAUAAGACUCUGUUUUAUGAUAGUUGGUUCAAUAAUGGUUUAUUUUUGGUGGAGCAGUUGUUUAAUAAACAAGGUCUUUUGUUCAGUACUCAGAAUUUCUUUGCAAAUACCAAAUACCAAUAACCCCAAAAGAAUUUGCUACAGUUAUGGGAGCUAUCCCCUCUGGUUUAUGUAUGCUUUUUAAAAACUGUAAUUAUUCCUCAGUAUCUACUGCAUCCUUUUCUAAACCUUGUGAUACUCCUGUUGGUCAAAUU